rnacentral:rRNA from 1 species
CUACGGGCCGCUGCAGUGAGGAAUUUUGCGCAAUGGGGGAAACCCUGACGCAGCAACGCCGCGUGAGCGAAGAAGGCCUUCGGGUCGUAAAGCUCUGUCAAGUGGGAAAAAAAUUCUUUGAUGAACAGUCAAAGGACUUGAUGGUACCACUGGAGGAAGCACCGGCUAACUCCGUGCCAGCAGCCGCGGUAAUACGGAGGGUGCAAGCGUUGUUCGGAAUUACUGGGCGUAAAGAGCGUGUAGGCGGUUUGACAAGUCAGAUGUGAAAGCCCCGGGCUCAACCCGGGAAGUGCAUUUGAAACUGUUUCACUAGAGUAUGGGAGAGGAGAUGGGAAUUCCUGGUGAAGAGGUGAAAUUCGUAGAUAUCAGGAGGAACACCCGUGGCGAAGGCGAUUCUCUGGACCAAUACUGACGCUGAGACGCGAAAGCGUGGGGAGCAAACAGGAUUAAUACCCUUGUAGUC